rnacentral:lncRNA from 1 species
CGCUUGUGUGCUCAGGAUAUACGGUUCAUUUGAAUACCUAAACCGAGUGAUAUCAAUAUCGAUGACCCCAUACUGAUCCUUAUUGUACCCUACAAUUUUUUUUGUAGCUACUGCAGGGACAUCAAACCAGUCGCAUUGGAAUAACAUUACUUCCUUCUCACCUGGAAAAUCAAGACAAAUGAUUUUCUUAAGCACACCAUACUAGUCCAUGUCUCCUGUACUUGCAUCGCCAUUAACAAAUACACCGCUAUUUUGAGUAGUUAAAGAAUUAUAUAUGGAAUUGACCUGGAAAAGGAAGCCAUUUACGUAACACCUGUUGAACACUCUUGCCCGAUGAUCUGGACCGCGAGAUAGAUAAUAAAUCAUCUCAUGUAUUUGUCCUUGUGCAUGCAAGGUACAUACCUGCAAUGAUAGCCAUUUUAUAAAUUUAUUAGAGAAUUACAAACUAAGUAGUACAAUGUGCACGGUAAGUUACUUACUUUACGCUCAAACCAUGAAACAAACUCCUCCUUGUGUCUUUUAUCAACAAGUCGAUGGUCGGUUUUCUUCAGCUCAUCCAUAUGCACACUUUCCAGAUCACUAAAAAUACAUGUGAUCAAUUAAUUUAUAAACAUAAAUAUAGAAAUAAAAAAAAUCAUCAACACCAAAAAAAAUAUAGCUUACUUUAUCCAUGGAGUCACCUCCUCACAGAUUGUUAAUAUAUAAUGUCUCAUUCUCAUCAUUUCAAAAUCAGAAAAAAUUUGUAUAGUACUUCCUCUCCUAAUAUAAUCAAUGCUUCUAAAUAUACUUAGGCCAGAUGGUUCUUCACUUGCACCUGCACUUUCAUGACGUUCUGGACGAAGUAGCUUUGUACUAAUAUUAUCAAAGAAGCGAGAGCAAAAUGUGAGACACUCCUCAGCUCUAUACCCCUC